AGAAUUAAUGAUGACUAUUGUUAACAUGAAUUGCAAUUAAUGAAUAGGUGUUUUUGAGACUCUGAGGUCCAC
rfam:Ictidomys tridecemlineatus contig074080, whole genome shotgun sequence.